rnacentral:rRNA from 1 species
CCUGGCUCAGGACGAACGCUGGCGGCGCGCCUAACACAUGCAAGUCGAACGAGCGAGAGAGAGCUUGCUUUCUCGAGCGAGUGGCGAACGGGUGAGUAACGCGUGAGGAACCUGCCUCAAAGAGGGGGACAACAGUUGGAAACGACUGCUAAUACCGCAUAAGCCCACAGGUCGGCAUCGACCAGAGGGAAAAGGAGCAAUCCGCUUUGAGAUGGCCUCGCGUCCGAUUAGCUAGUUGGUGAGGUAAUGGCCCACCAAGGCAACGAUCGGUAGCCGGACUGAGAGGUUGAACGGCCACAUUGGGACUGAGACACGGCCCAGACUCCUACGGGAGGCAGCAGUGGGGAAUAUUGCACAAUGGGGGAAACCCUGAUGCAGCGACGCCGCGUGGAGGAAGAAGGUCUUCGGAUUGUAAACUCCUGUUGUUGAGGAAGAUAAUGACGGUACUCAACAAGGAAGUGACGGCUAACUACGUGCCAGCAGCCGCGGUAAAACGUAGGUCACAAGCGUUGUCCGGAAUUACUGGGUGUAAAGGGAGCGCAGGCGGGAAGACAAGUUGGAAGUGAAAUCUAUGGGCUCAACCCAUAAACUGCUUUCAAAACUGUUUUUCUUGAGUAGUGCAGAGGUAGGCGGAAUUCCCGGUGUAGCGGUGGAAUGCGUAGAUAUCGGGAGGACACCAGUGGCGAAGGCGGCCUACUGGGCACCAACUGACGCUGAGGCUCGAAAGUGUGGGUAGCAAACAGGAUUAGAUACCCUGGUAGUCCACACCGUAAACGAUGAUUACUAGGUGUUGGAGGAUUGACCCCUUCAGUGCCGCAGUUAACACAAUAAGUAAUCCACCUGGGGAGUACGACCGCAAGGUUGAAACUCAAAGGAAUUGACGGGGGCCCGCACAAGCAGUGGAGUAUGUGGUUUAAUUCGACGCAACGCGAAGAACCUUACCAAGUCUUGACAUCCUGCGACGAUGCUGGAAACAGUAUUUUCCUUCGGGACGCAGAGACAGGUGGUGCAUGGUUGUCGUCAGCUCGUGUCGUGAGAUGUUGGGUUAAGUCCCGCAACGAGCGCAACCCUUACUGUCAGUUACUACGCAAGAGGACUCUGGCAGGACUGCCGUUGACAAAACGGAGGAAGGUGGGGAUGACGUCAAAUCAUCAUGCCCUUUAUGACUUGGGCUACACACGUACUACAAUGGCGUUAAACAAAGAGAAGCAAGACCGCGAGGUGGAGCAAAACUCAGAAACAACGUCCCAGUUCGGACUGCAGGCUGCAACUCGCCUGCACGAAGUCGGAAUUGCUAGUAAUCGUGGAUCAGCAUGCCACGGUGAAUACGUUCCCGGGCCUUGUACACAC